rnacentral:rRNA from 1 species
GCAUCGGAACGUAUCCCCGUAGUGGGGGACAACCCAGCGAAAGCUGGGCUAAUACCGCAUAUGCUCUACGGAGGAAAGCAGGGGACCUGAAAGGGCCUUGUGCUAUGGGAGCGGCCGAUGUCCGAUUAGCUAGUUGGUGAGGUAAAGGCUUACCAAGGCGACGAUCGGUAGCUGGUCUGAGAGGAUGAUCAGCCACACUGGGACUGAGACACGGCCCAG